AGUGAACGCUGGCGGUAGGCCUAACACAUGCAAGUCGAACGGCAGCACAGUAAGAGCUUGCUCUUACGGGUGGCGAGUGGCGGACGGGUGAGGAAUACAUCGGCAUCUACUUUUUCGUGGGGGAUAACGUAGGGAAACUUACGCUAAUACCGCAUACGACCUACGGGUGAAAGCAGGGGAUCUUCGGACCUUGCGCGAUUGAAUGAGCCGAUGUCGGAUUAGCUAGUUGGCGGGGUAAAGGCCCACCAAGGCGACGAUCCGUAGCUGGUCUGAGAGGAUGAUCAGCCACACUGGAACUGAGACACGGUCCAGACUCCUACGGGAGGCAGCAGUGGGGAAUAUUGGACAAUGGGCGCAAGCCUGAUCCAGCCAUACCGCGUGGGUGAAGAAGGCCUUCGGGCUGUAAAGCCCUUUUGUUGGGAAAGAAAAGCAGCAGGUUAAUACCCCGCUGUUCUGACGGUACCCAAAGAACAAGCACCGGCUAACUUCGUG
rnacentral:rRNA from 1 species